AAAAACUAAGAGUGAAAAGAAUAUUUUGUGCCAACUGUUUAGCAAAUAAUCUUAGCAUAAGACAUAAGAAAUCAGUAGCAAAUAUUCAUUAAAAAUAAUAUGAUGUAAAACUAUUUUUAUUAAAAUAAUAUAAAAUUACUGUUAGGCAUUAGCUUGAAUUUUCAUUAUGAAAUAAAUUUAUUGUUAAAUUAAAAUUUGCAAUAUAAAGAGGUUAAAUUUUGGAUAAAUGUUAAAGUUGUUAUUUAGAGUUCUAUAACUAUAUGAGUUAAGAUAAUUUGUUAGAAAUACACCUUUUAUACUAUCACUUUGUAAAACUAUAAAUAUAAUUUUUUCUAUCAUAAUUACAAUUAUUUGUAAUAGCAUCAAUAAUUAAUUUAUUUUUGAUAAAUCUAAUUAAAAUAAAUACUCAAAUCUAAUAAAUUAAACAUUAACUAGUCUUUGAUGUUAUUUUAUAUUUCCUCUUCCCUGUGAUGUGCCCUAUGUUUGCUGAGAUUACAAAUACUAGAGCUGUUCCCGGGCUACGCCCGGGUUAUUUUUGUAUGAAAAUGUGAAAGCAGAAUAUCAUAAAAGAUUAAUAUAUUUCUGUCUAAAUUAUUUUUAAUGUAAAAUAGUGUCAGGGUUAAAGUAAUCAUUAAAUGUAAAAAAAAAGGAGAAGUAUUAUCGAUGGUUAUUGAUUCUUACUGAUACAAUGAUUGUAUUAAUUGACGUUGGAAGCAAUAAUGUAAGUUUACAAACAAUUGACUGGUCUCGUUUGUAAACGCUAAAGUCUUCAAACAGAGGAGUAGAAAUCAUAAAUAAGAUGGUGGAGUUUUUGACGAAGAUGGUGGUAGAUGUGAUGGGAUUUGCUUGAGUUGGAAAGGCUGAAAUUUAAUUUCAAAUAAAUUAGUGAACAUAAAUUUGCACUAGGAAUCAAUUUAUUUAAUUAAUAGAGUAGGGAGACGUACUUGGAAGUAGCGAGGUAUCCAUCAUACGGGAAGGAGUUUUAACUCUGAUUCGUUUCUGUUGGUAGUUUGAUACUGCAUAGCAGAUACAUGUCAAUUAUUAGAUAGAUAACCACUUUAGAAACCUUCAAUGAGAUUUUGAGUUUUUGAUUUUACUCACCCUCAUGGGAACGAAGGCGGUUGAAGAUUUCUUUGUAGACUAUGUUCUUCACUUUUUGUUUGUAUGAGUCUUCGCCUUUAGUAUACUUGCAUCCAUGUGUUAUUUGAAGGUUACUGGGUUCCCAGCAUAACAAUAAUCCUUUCUUUUCUAAUAUAUUCAAAUUCGAAGUUUUUUUUAUUUUAUUUUUUUGAUAAAUUUGUUUUUUUGAAGUGUUUUUUUUGUUCAAAUUUUCUUAAAAUUACAAAAUUCAUAUUGUUAUAUUUUAAUCAAGACGGUAAUAGAUAGUGCAGAAAAUUAGAUAGUGCAGAUAAUGCAGUAAUAGAUAGUGCAGAAAAUUAUUUUAAAAAGUUCAUCAUAUAUUAAAGAUUAAUAUUUAGCUAAUUAGUAAAUAUUUCAUAAAAAUAAAAAUAAUUUAUUGUAAUGGUUUUUGAAUUGAUAAUAUAUGUAUAAUUUUGAAAAUUAUUAGCCCGCGAGUGCAAGCAAAACACAUAUCAUUCAUACAAAGAAGAAGAAACUCAUUGACUAUAUAGAUAGAUAUUCUUACUUUUCUUACCACGUUCUUAUUAAAAGAGUUUUAUCUUAUGUUUAUCAAACCAUAUACAUGUUUUUUCCUUAUUAACACUAACUCUUAUUAAAAUGGAAAUAAUAAUAUAUGCGAACUCCAGCUUCUGUUAUAUGUAUUAAAUAAAAAAUAACUAAAAAUAUGUGAGUUUGUAUAAAAUUUAAUACAGUAGUAAUACAAAAAAAUUAUUUUAAAAGUUUUAGUUUAUUUACUAUAUAGAGAGUUUUUUUAACUUUUUUUACCAUGUUCUUAUUUUAAAAAUAAUUAUCUUAUGUUUAUCAAACCAUAUACAUGUUCUUUCCUUAUUAAUACUAACUCUUAUAAAAAAGAAAUAGUCAUAUAUGAGAAUUCCAUGUUCUAUUAUAUGUAGUUAAUAAAAAGAUAGUAAAAUACAGUGCUUUCUAUAGUAUACAAAUAAGUCCACGGAAAAUAAUUUAUGUUUUUUAAUAAUUGAUUACUAACCUUACCAAGUUUUAACAGAUUUGUGGAGCCCAGUUGCAUCCCAUCUAUAAUUCAGUUCUAGAUUUUAUAGUCUAUACGUGAUUAUACUACAAUAUGAUUGAAUUCUAUUUUAUUACUUUAGUAAAACUGUAUCUGAGUUUUGAAUUUAAAAAUAUUUGCGUCAUUAAUAUGGUUUUAGUAGAACCAUCUAAUAAUACUCCCCAAGUUCUCCAAGCUCUUUAGAUUUUUUUAACAGUUUAGAAACAUUUAUUUGUUUUAGAAAAAAAAACAAUUAUCAAGCUUACCAACGUUAGGUUUUUUUAUUUAAUGGCAGUUUUGUGGUAAGAUUUUUGUGGCAUGAUUUGAGUCACAUAAUUGAUAAGUUUGGAGUUUUGAUUACUCGGAGGAUCUAGGCUUAGUUUGAAAGUUUUCUGGCAAAAUAAAACAAAUAAUUUUGAUAGAAAAGAAAAACGAUGAUAUUAAAUUAUCGGACUACAUUAAAAUAUUUGUAUUGUAUAAGUGCAGUCAAUCUACAAUAUGUUUAAUUAUUAAUUAUUUUUAUUAAAAAAUAUUAUUGUAAUGGUUUUUAAAUUGAUAAUAUAUAUAUAUACUAUCUUCUUUUAAGUGCGGAGAAAACACUUAUCAUUCAUACGCAUAAGAAGAAUUUCAUAUGAUAUCACAGUUGUCUUACCUACGAAACUUCUAAUAGUAGAGUUAGGUAACUUUUUUAAUAUGAGUUUUAGUUUAUUUACUAUAUAGAGAGUUUUUUUAAUUUUUUUUACCAUGUUCUUAUUUUAAAAAGAAUUAUCUUAUGUUUAUCAAACCAUAUACAUGUUCUUUCCUUAUUAAUACUAACUCUUAUAAAAAAAAAGAAAUAGUCAUAUAUGAGAAUUUCAGGUUCUAUUAUAUGUAGUUAAUAAAAAGAUAGUAAAAUACAAUGCUUUCUAUAGUAUACAAAUAAGUCCACGGAAAAUAAUUUAUGUUUUUUAAUAAUUGAUUACUAACCUUACCAAGUUUUAACAGAUUUGUGGGGCCCAGUUGCAUCCCAUCUAUAAUUCAGUUCUAGAUUUUAUAGUCUAUACGUAAUUAUACUACAAUAUGACUGAAUUCUAUUUUAUUACUUUAGAAAAACUGUAUCUGAGUUUUGAAUUUAAAAAUAUUUGCGUCAUUAAUAUGGUUUUAGUAGAACCAUCUAAUAAUACUCUCCAAAUUCUCCAAGCUCUUUAGAUUUUUUUAACAGUUUAGAAAAAAUUUAUUUGUUUUAGAAAAAAAAAACAAUUAUCAAGCUUACCAACGUUAGGUUUUUUAUUUAAUGGCAGUUUUGUGGUAAGACUUCUGUGGCAUGAUUUGAGUCACAUAAUUGAUAAGUUUGGAGUUUUGAUUACUCGGAGGAUCUAGGCUUAGUUUGAAAGUUUUCUGGCAAAAUAAAACAAAUAAUUUUGAUAGAAAAGAAAAACGAUGAUAUUAAAUUAUCGGACUACAUUAAAAUAUUUGUAUUGUAUAAGUGCAGUCAAUCUACAAUAUGCAUAGCUUUGUAGAUAUGUCACAGUCAAUAUUACAUAAGUAUAACGUGGUAGAGUUAUUAUAUAUUAUUAUAGAUCCUACGGAAGUAAAGGUUUGACAUACAUGCUGUUUCCAGAGGUGGUGUAGAAGGUGUGUUCUUCAUCCUUUUGUAAUCUUGAUUUUAGAAACGAUCCGAUUGUGUGCUAGAGAUCUAGAUUAUACGUACGUAUGAGAGCUUAGAAGAAGGUUCUGAUAUUGUGGUUUGAGUCUUUUUUUUUGUAGAUGGGAGAGAUGAAGUUGGUUUUUUUUAUUUAAUUGUAUAUGCCUCAAUGAUUCUCUGAGCAGUAUCACAAUACUAAAAGGCCUA